rnacentral:rRNA from 1 species
UACGUAGGUCCCGAGCGUUGUCCGGAUUUAUUGGGCGUAAAGCGAGCGCAGGUGGUUUAUUAAGUCUGGUGUAAAAGGCAGUGGCUCAACCAUUGUAUGCAUUGGAAACUGGUAGACUUGAGUGCAGGAGAGGAGAGUGGAAUUCCAUGUGUAGUGGUGAAAUGCGUAGAUAUAUGGAGGUACACCGGUGGCGAAAGCGGCUCUCUGGCCUGUAACUGACACUGAGGCUCGAAAGCGUGGGGAGCAAACAGG